AAAAAUUUUCAAGCGUAAGCCCAUGAUUUUAUUUUAAUGUAGUGGACUAGAAAUCAUGUGGCCUCUGCCUGCGCAGGUAUCCUGCCGUUCACGCUUCAUAUUGCUUUAAAUUUUUUUGGUGAAAUCAUAUAUCCUCUGUUUUUCCAAUUCUAUCCGAUAGCGAGUGUUAUUUCAAAAUAUUAGACCGAAAUACUUAGGGUUUAAAUCCAAAUCUAAGUUCAUAAAAUAAUUCGACCAUUGCAACCAUCGUCAUCGGUAAUAGUUCAUCUCUUUGAUCCACCCUAAUGGUAGGGAACCAGAGCUCCUCUGUUCUUCCCAUUCUAUCGAUUUUCAGUAUAUUUACUCUCGAACAUCCACCGAUAUGGCAAAUGCCCAGGUCAAUUAAAUAAAUGGAGGAGACUGCGAUGUGAAAACUGCGACAAUUUUAAAGACAUCUCUUUUGGCGUAUACAUUUCAUGAUAUGAUCAAGUAUCAACCCUCAGAGGAAUGUCUCCAGGGAUGUAUAGUUUGACAUGUCUGCAUAAGCUUACAAGGUUUGUAAGAGGUGGAACCAACAAUGAUGCUAAUUAUUGCAGACCAGUUGGAGUGGGUGCAAAUGGGCUUAGAGACUUGCGAUGUCUUGCAAAUCUCAGUGGCAGUCUGGAAAUUAAGGUGUAAAAAGGUUCCACACAUGAUGCAUCUGAAGCUAUGGAAGGGAGACAUCUUGUAAACAAGCCACAUCUUAGGGGUAUAAACAUAUAUUGGAAGCUCAUGCCUGGUCCGGCAAUUACUACAUAUAUAGUGGAGAUAAUAGUGAAGGGAUCAACACGCAAAUAUUACUUCAAGGCUUUCAACCCCAUCCUAAUCUUAGAAUGUUGGAGUUGUGGUGCUAUUCUGGUGAAUGGUUUCCGAGCUGGGAGGGAUCUUUAAUGAAUCUCGAAACUUGUCUCCCAAAUCUUUUUGAAAUAAAAUUUCUUGGAUGCAUAAGGCUGGAGCAUCUUCCAUCUUUAAUUUAUUUGUGUCAUUUAAAGUCCGACUUAGUGAUUGAGAAAGUUGGAGUAUGUAGAGUACUGGUAGUCGAGGUGGAGUAAAAAAUUACCACUAUUGAAUUUAGGGGAGGAUGAGAUAGGAAUGAGCAUUGGGGAUAAUCUUGAGACUGAUAAUGAGCAGAAACUACAGCAACGACAACAGUCACUAACAAGAUUGUGACAUAAUCAUUUCCUAAGCUUUCUUUUAUGUUUAAAAUAGGGGAGUGUCCUAACUUGGCAAUUUUUCCUGUGUGUCCAAAACUGAAAGCAUUGAAAAUGAGGGGCUUCAAUGAAGCUGUGGGCCAAUUAUCGGCAUAAGUUUGAUACUUUUCAUUCUUCUUCUAAGUUGCGGAAGGAACAACCAGGAAGCUUAUGGUAGAGCUUCAAUUGUCUUCAUGCAGAGUCUUUCCUGUGCAUUUCUCAUUUGAUGAUGGAGUGUGACCUUGAUAUAGAGAAAUUGACAUCAGGGCAGAUGUUUUAGCGCUGUCGCCUUUCCUCUUUUUACUCUCUAGUGAUAUAUCAGUACUGGAAACUAAAGUCUAUCAGGACGAGGAGUGCGGGAUCAUAUUACUGCUUUGAAGAGUCUAUGUUUGAGCUCCCUCCAUGUGUUGGAAUUGCAUGAUUCCACAGCACAAAGAGAGGAAGAGAGAAAGGAUGAUGUCACUGAUACUAUCAUUCCUUGGAGAGGCCUCGGUCAUACUCUUCGUUUGGCAUCUUCCAAAGCUAGUGAAACUGCCAAAGGGAAUGCACCAUUUGACUGCUCACCAUUUCCUUGACAUUUCAUAUUGUAACAAUUCAAAGAACUACCAGAAUGGAUAGGAUUUUAUCAUCCCUUCAAUCACUUCUUAUUCAAGAUUCUAAAAGCUUAAAAUCAUUGCUAGAAGGGUUGCACUACCUCAGCUCUUUACGCAUACUUGAUUUGUUGGAAUGCUCACGAGAGUUAAAGGAAAGAUCCCACAAUCCGACUGGUGUUGAUUGGCCCAUCAUCCAACAUAUCACCCACAUUCCCUCUCCACAUAGGAGUAUAACAGAUUAUAUUCUCCAUCUUUUUUAGUUGCAUCAUAUGUUUGGCGAAUCCUGCUCUAGACUCUCCUCGUGCUCUUUAAACUUUUAAAGUGGAUUUCAUCAUUGUUAUAGGUUCACUGAGUGGAGCGGUUUCACUUAUGUUUUCAGUCCUCCAACUUAUUUCAUGCUUGGAAAAUCCUUUCCCAGUUGAGGUAUUUAAUUACAUCUCUUAACUUCUGUAUGUUUCCUGAUUUAUUUCAUGAACUUUUGUACAUUUCUGUAUGAGAUUGAGAAAUCUUUGACCGAAUGGUAUUGUAAGUCAUCUUGUAUAGCUCAUUUAUUAGAAGUCGAACAAAAUUAAUUUAGUAGCUUUAAGGAAGUUCAGCUUGAGAAUGGUUAUAUUUAUAUUGCCAGGAUUGUAUCCACUUACUAGCAGCUGCCACUUACUGUAGUUCAUUCAGUUUUGAUAAGUUCAAUUCAACUCGUGUUACCAGGGUCGAUACAGACUCGUGUCUCGGUGUCUUGAGUGUCUAAUUUAAAAGUCCACAGAAUACGUAUUUUCCAGAAAUUAAAACUUAGAGGUGGCACAAGUUGGGUUUGCCUGAAUUUGGGUUGAUUAUAGAUUGGACUGGUUGAUAUCUGAUAAGUUCUGGAUAUCCACACUUGUAAAACACUUUUGGAUAUUCCAAAGUAAUACACACACAAUUAUUUAUUUGAAAAAGCUUAUUUUGGGCAGAUUCAAACUUUUUCGACUCAUUCUCGUUGGUCUUAGAUAUUUCAGAUAUUUGAGCUUCUUUUGGAUAUCAAGUAUCGGAUGCUUGGAUAAGAGGUGAUCAACUGCACAUGGUCUUUUUUUUCUCCCGUAUAUGAAAAAGUUAAUAAAUAAAACGUUAACUUUAUUAAUAAAAUAAAUAUAUAACUAUAAAUAAGGCGUAGAAUAAAAGUAUUUUACAGGGCCCCAAAUUUUAUAAGACGGCUCCGGCUCGGAUCAAAUAUACAAAUGGUUUUUUCUGGAUAUUAGAUAUUUUCCCUUGCUGCGUUUUUCUAGGCAUCGUUUAAAUGAUAGGCUUUGAAAAAACAUACCUGAGUCCGGUGUUCGAGUUUGUCCUCCGACUUGUUAUUUAAAAUAUCUAGCAUUUGUGAAAGAUUAGGAGAAAAAUUGAAUAUCAUGAAUUAAGGGAGAAUACUACUGUACUCUUUAGCUUCAUCUAUUUGCUACAAAAAGUGAUAUUUUUCUUGCAAUGUUAUUAUCAAUAAGAAACUGAUAUGAGAGUAUCAAUUAUUUCUUACACUACAUAAGAUAAAAGAUUAUCAUUUGUGAUCAUAAAAGUAUUCUAUACCAUACAUCAUAUCCAGUAAAUUCCGCUUAUAAAGUUAGGGUCUAGGGUAGAUAACAUAAAUAUCAUACUUGUACCUCAUGGAAGAAAGGACAAGAAAAAUAUAGUUAAUUAUACCCAAAAAGCUAAAGCCCUACCAAGAAAGCAAUGAAAUUCACAAAAUACGUAUUGAUGUACACUUAAAAAUAUAUACAUCUAUGUUGAUGUAUACUUAAAAAACAAAUGAAUUAACCUAGCUAGUUGUAUUGCAUGCAUGCUGUAAAAGACAAACUUUUUUGGGCAUUUGACCAUACAAAGAAAUUAACUUUAAGAAAUGUAAAUUGGUUCAUAAAGAUUGAGCAAUUAGACAUUGAAAACCCACCAAAACCCAAGUAAUCUCACAUCAUAUUUAGCUAUUUUACUCUUGUUGCUUCACCUUUCACCCCUUUUAAGGUAAAAUAAAACUCUCUUUAUGUUAUCCACUCAUUCCUUUUGGUUAUACCACUUUGGAUGCAUUAUAUAUUAGUGAUGAACAAAGGUUUCAAGCUUUACACUUACGUGCGUUUAAGCUUCUUUUCUUGCAUGCUAUCUUUUUUUUCUAUCAAAAGUUAGAUCACAUAGAAGAUAAUUCAUCAUGAAUUUGGAUGCAUGUUUGACUUGAAUAUAUGAUGGGAUAAAGAUUCUUAUUAUAUGAUCUAGAAUCAUUUUUAGAAAUAUAGAUAUAGAUAUAGGUUUAGAUAUGACAAUGAGUAGUCAAUUAAUGGUUUUGAACAAAAUGGGGUUGUAGAUAUUGAACUUGAUUGGUAUCUUAAUUUAUUUUUGUCCACCCAUUGGUUGGACGUUUAACUAGUUCUGUUCAACUUUGUUUAAUUUAGUGUGGAAAAUAUUUUGUUUAAUUAGAGUGAAAACAUAAUAAUCAUUUUGAUGAUUAGAUAAUAGAGAACCUUUUUUUCUAGUUAAGAUAGACAGAAGAAAUGAAAGAAUUGAAGAGGUUUUAUUCGAUUGCAUGCAUAUCUCCUCCUCUCUCCUUUGAGGGAUACGGUUAUGAUAUGUUUGCUAUCUCUCCUCUCCGGACCCUGACUUUGUGCGAAAUACUGAGUUGAUGACCAAUACCAACACCAAUUGAAAGAUAAGAACAACAAAAAUUGAAUUAAGAAUCUAAUAUGAAAAAAAUUGAAUUCCAAUAAACAAUUAUAAACAUCUCAAUAUGUUUAUAAUGACAAUGACAUCAAAAUACUCCUAUUGCAUUUUCAACUUAUAAAUUGGAAGUAAUUUUCAUCAUCUCUCAGUUAAAAAGCAAUUAUCACUUUUUUAAUUAAAAUUUUAAAUUCAAUUUUACUUUUAUCUUCUUUCUGCCUACGCUAUAAUAAAGAAAAUAAAAAACACGUUAAAAGGGUUAUUGGAUUCCAAUCAUAUGUGUCCCGUCUUCCUUUCAUUGUAGUCAAGAAUAUCCAAUAAAUUUAAACUUAUAACAAAACUUUCUACAAUGCAACCAAAAAAAGCAAAUAAAAGUCUCUCUUUCUUUUCACGCAAAUCAAAAUAGAAAAAGCAAUGACUACAGACAAUUUAAGUGGGUUAUACUUUAUAUUUAAAGGGGACUAGUCAAAAAUUAUACCCAACUUUUAAAUUGAAUUUUGCUCACAUUUUAACCGUAUCAGAUUUGCAGAAAGACAAAUUGUAUUUUCUUCUUUCUUUCUUUGUUUCUGAAUAAUCUCAGUAUUUUGUUUGGAUACAAUAAAUGUAGAGGUUGUAUUUUAGUUGUUAGACUUGUGUGCUUUACUGUCAUUUUCUGUUGGAUUAUAUUCUACUACUUGU